AUGCUUGAUUGAACCGCAUGGUUCAAUCAUAAAAAGGUGGCUUUCAGCUACCACUUACAGAUGGACCCGCGGCGCAUAGCUAGUUGGUGAGGUAACGGCUCACCAAGGCGACGAUGCGUAGCCGACCUGAGAGGGUGAUCGGCCACACUGGGACUGAGACACGGCCCAGACUCUACGGGAGGCAGCAGUAGGGAAUCUUCCGCAAUGGACGAAAGUCUGACGGAGCAACGCCGCGUGAGUGAUGAAGGUUUUCGGAUCGUAAAACUCUGUUGUUAGGGAAGAACAAGUACCGUUCGAAUAGGGCGGCACCUUGACGGUACCUAACCAGAAAGCCACGGCUAACUACGUGCCAGCAGCCGCGGUAAUACGUAGGUGGCAAGCGUUGUCCGGAAUUAUUGGGCGUAAAGCGCGCGCAGGCGGUUUCUUAAGUCUGAUGUGAAAGCCCCCGGCUCAACCGGGGAGGGUCAUUGGAAACUGGGGAACUUGAGUGCAGAAGAGGAGAGUGGAAUUCCACGUGUAGCGGUGAAAUGCGUAGAGAUGUGGAGGAACACCAGUGGCGAAGGCGACUCUCUGGUCUGUAACUGACGCUGAGGCGCGAAAGCGUGGGGAGCGAACAGGAUUAGAUACCCUGGUAGUCCACGCCGUAAACGAUGAGUGCUAAGUGUUAGAGGGUUUCCGCCCUUUAGUGCUGCAGCAAACGCAUUAAGCACUCCGCCUGGGGAGUACGGUCGCAAGACUGAAACUCAAAGGAAUUGACGGGGGCCCGCACAAGCGGUGGAGCAUGUGGUUUAAUUCGAAGCAACGCGAAGAACCUUACCAGGUCUUGACAUCCUCUGACAACCCUAGAGAUAGGGCUUCCCCUUCGGGGGCAGAAUGACAGGUGGUGCAUGGUUGUCGUCAGCUCGUGUCGUGAGAUGUUGGGUUAAGUCCCGCAACGAGCGCAACCCUUGAUCUUAGUUGCCAGCAUUCAGUUGGGCACUCUAAAGUGACUGCCGGUGACAAACCGGAAGAAAGUGGGGAUGACGUCAAAUCAUCAUGCCCCUUAUGACCUGGGCUACACACGUGCUACAAUGGGCAGAACAAAGGGCAGCGAAGCCGCGAGGCUAGCCAAUCCCACAAAUCUGUUCUCAGUUCGGAUC
rnacentral:rRNA from 1 species